rnacentral:rRNA from 1 species
UAGUCCACGCCGUAAACGAUGGAUACUAGGUGUGGGAGGUAUUGACCCCUUCCGUGCCGCAGUUAACACAAUAAGUAUCCCACCUGGGGAGUACGGCCGCAAGGUUGAAACUCAAAGGAAUUGACGGGGGCCCGCACAAGCAGUGGAGUAUGUGGUUUAAUUCGAAGCAACGCGAAGAACCUUACCAGGUCUUGACAUCCCGGUGACCGUCCUAGAGAUAGGACUUCCCUUCGGGGCAACGGUGAC